rnacentral:rRNA from 1 species
UGGGGAAUAUUGCACAAUGGGGGAAACCCUGAUGCAGCGACGCCGCGUGAACGAAGAAGGUAUUCGUAUCGUAAAGUUCUGUCCUAUGGGAAGAUAAUGACAGUACCAUAGAAGAAAGCUCCGGCUAAAUACGUGCCAGCAGCCGCGGUAAUACGUAUGGAGCGAGCGUUGUCCGGAAUUAUUGGGCGUAAAGGGUACGCAGGCGGUUUAAUAAGUCGAAUGUUAAAGAUCGGGGCUCAACCCCGCAAAUCAUUGGAAACUGAUAAACUUGAGUAGUGGAGAGGAAAGUGGAAUUCCUAGUGUAGUGGUGAAAUACGUAGAUAUUAGGAGGAAUACCAGUAGCGAAGGCGACUUUCUGGACACAAACUGACGCUGAGGUACGAAAGCGUGGGGAGCAAACAGG